UACAGAGGGUGCAAGCGUUGUUCGGAAUUACUGGGCGUAAAGCGCGUGUAGGCGGCGAUGUAAGUCAGACGUGAAAUCCCUUGGCUUAACCAAGGAAGUGCAUCUGAUACUGCUUCGCUUGAGUGUCGGAGGGGAUGGCGGAAUUCCCGGUGUAGAGGUGAAAUGCGUAGAUAUCGAGAGGAACACCUGCGGCGAAGGCGGGUAGCUGGGCCGACACUGACGCUGAGGAACGAAAGCUAGGGGAGCGAACGGG
rnacentral:rRNA from 1 species